rnacentral:rRNA from 1 species
UAANAACCUGGAAACAGAUGCUAAUACCGGAUAACAACACUAGACGCAUGUCUAGAGUUUAAAAGAUGGUUCUGCUAUCACUCUUGGAUGGACCUGCGGUGCAUUAGCUAGUUGGUAAGGUAACGGCUUACCAAGGCAAUGAUGCAUAGCCGAGUUGAGAGACUGAUCGGCCACAUUGGGACUGAGACACGGUCCAAACUCCUACGGGAGGCAGCAGGC